AUCUAUGGCUAUACCACCCUGAACACACCCCAUCCCAUCUGAUCUUGGAAGCUAAGCAGGGUUGGGCCUGGUUAGUACAUUGAUGAGAGAAGAGUCAAUUCAUAACCAAUGUUU
ensembl:rRNA 5S_rRNA 5S ribosomal RNA